AGAGUUUGAUCAUGGCUCAGGACGAACGCUGGCGGCGUGCCUAAUACAUGCAAGUCGAGCGGACGGAGAGAGGCUUGCCUCUCAAAGUCAGCGGCGGACGGGUGAGUAACACGUGGGUAACCUGCCCGACAGACUGGGAUAACGCUUGGAAACGAGUGCUAAUACCAGAUAGUCUUUUUGAUCGCAUGAUCGAAAAGGGAAAGAAGCUAUCGCUUCACUGUCGGAUGGACCCGCGGCGCAUUAGCUAGUUGGUGAGGUAACGGCUCACCAAGGCGACGAUGCGUAGCCGACCUGAGAGGGUGAACGGCCACACUGGGACUGAGACACGGCCCAGACUCCUACGGGAGGCAGCAGUAGGGAAUCUUCCGCAAUGGGCGCAAGCCUGACGGAGCAACGCCGCGUGAAUGACGAAGGCCUUCGGGUUGUAAAAUUCUGUCUUCUGUGAAGAACGUGUGUGAGAGUGGAAAGCUCACGCUUUGACGGUAACAGAGGAGGAAGCCCCGGCUAACUACGUGCCAGCAGCCGCGGUAAUACGUAGGGGGCAAGCGUUGUCCGGAAUCACUGGGCGUAAAGCGCGCGCAGGCGGCCAUUUGCGUCUGGGGUGAAAGCCCGGAGCUCAACUCCGGGAUUGCCUUGGAUACGGGAUGGCUUGAGGAUCGGAGAGGCAAGGGGAAUUCCUCGUGUAGCGGUGGAAUGCGUAGAUAUGAGGAGGAACACCUGUGGCGAAGGCGCCUUGCUGGCCGAUUUCUGACGCUGAGGCGCGAAAGCGUGGGGAGCAAACAGGAUUAGAUACCCUAGUAGUCC
rnacentral:rRNA from 1 species